rnacentral:lncRNA from 1 species
AUGAAAGUAAUAAUAAUGCCUAUCUCUGGGGUCAUUAUGAAGACUACGUCCGUUAAUAUUUUUCAAGUGUUUUUAUUACUCCUUUUAUUACUCAGGUAUCUGGUAAUAAACCUUAGCUAUUCUUGUCAUUAUGUUCCCCACCCAGGCAGUGAGUUGCAAGCAGCUGAGCUUAUGCAUGAGUGUGGAUGUGAAUCGUUCAAGACGUUCUCACAGCUGAGCAGAUACGAUUAUGGAGUUGGAUACGCCAGAGUUUAAAGGCUCACGGCUCUGGUGGAAGGGGCUGGAGCCCCCACCUUCUAGGCCACCUGCCUCACAGGAAGAGCUGCAGCGGAGCCAACCUGAAUUCCAAAAUUGCUCAACCCACUCCGGGAAGCCCGAGGCAGUAGCAUGGCGGGACCCACCUGAUGGGCACCUUUGCAUCUGGAAUCCUCUGCAGCCUUAAAACGCUCCGCCCACAGAAGCAGGACCAUGUCACACUCCCCAGAGCAUGGUCACCAUCACUUGGGAAUCUGCUGGUAAGUGGUGCUGUUGGCUCUGGCUGUGCACUGGGAAGAUGUCCUUCCCUGCUUUUAGCAGGGUAGCUCUGCAGAAUGUGUGCUUCAGAAUCAGGAAAAAUCGGGGAGCCAACAAUAGAAAGCAGGUUUAUACUAAUAUGCAACCUCUUAUCCUUUCGGCCAUUCUUAGUUUUUGGUGAG